GAAUCCCAGUGAAGCAAGUUUUUUCUUUAGCCCUAGAUUCCAGGCAGAACUAUUGAGCAUAGAUAAUUUUCCCCCCUCAGGCCAGCUUUUUCUUUUUUUUAAAUUUUGUUAAUAAAAGGGAGGAGAUGUAGUCUCCCCUGCCCCAGCCUGAAACCUGCUUGCUCGGGGUGGAGCUUCCUGCUCAUUCGUUCUGCCACGCCCACUGCUGGAACCUGAGGAGCCACACACGUGCACCUUUCUACUGGACCCGAGAUUAUUCGGCGGGAAUCGAGUCCCCUCCCACUUCCUUCAUAACUAGUGUCCCAACAAUAAAAUUUGAGCUUUGAUCAGAAUGAAUUUGUCUUAGCUCCGUUUCUUCUUUCGCCCCGUCUAGAUUCCUCUCUUACAGCUCGAGUAGCCUUCUCAGUCGAACCAUUCAUGUUGCGAGCUGCUGGCGGCUGCAACACAUGCCAUCUACUCCUCUUGGGUGAAUUUGCUUUCUUUUGUUUUAGAGUUUUAGGUGUGUUGUGAAGCUGCUAUUGUGUACUCUCUCCCGUUUCUUCUUGGAGGCACUCAGAGCUAUGAGUUUCCCUCUUAGAAAUGCUUUCAUUGUGUCCCAUAGGUUUGGGUAUGUUGUGGCUUCAUUUUCAUUAAACUCUAAAAUUUCUUUCUUUAUUCCCUACUUGACCAAGGUAUCACUGAGAAGAGUGUUGUUCAGUUUCCAUGUGAAU
rnacentral:lncRNA from 1 species